CUGGCGGCGUGCCUAAUACAUGCAAGUCGAACGGUCUUUCUAUGGAAGCUUGCUUCCACUGAGAAGAUAGUGGCGAACGGGUGAGUAACACGUGGGUAACCUGCCCAUAAGAGGGGGAUAACAUCCGGAAACGGGUGCUAAUACCGCAUAGUUUUCUUGAUCGCAUGAUCGGGAAAGGAAAGACGGCCUUUGUGCUGUCGCUUAUGGAUGGACCCGCGGCGUAUUAGUUAGUUGGUGAGGUAACGGCUCACCAAGACGAUGAUACGUAGCCGACCUGAGAGGGUGAUCGGCCACAUUGGGACUGAGACACGGCCCAAACUCCUACGGGAGGCAGCAGUAGGGAAUCUUCCGCAAUGGACGAAAGUCUGACGGAGCAACGCCGCGUGAGUGAAGUAAGGUUUUCGGGAAUCGUAAAACUCUGUUGUCAGAGAAGAACAAGUUGGAGAGUAACUGCUCCAGCCUUGACGGUAUCUGACCAGAAAGCCACGGCUAACUACGUGCCAGCAGCAGC
rnacentral:rRNA from 1 species